GUAACAAGGUUUCCGUAGGUGAACCUGCGGAAGGAUCAUUAUUGAAUCGUCAAUUGAAUCCAGACUCUUACAAAGUGUGAGGGCCCCUGGGAGAGGUUGUUGGCUGGCUGGCCAGCUCUGCUGGCAAUGUGUGCCAUGGCUUCUUCCGGGCUUGAACGCGGGUGUCCAAAUCUUACCUCCUGUGCACCUUAUGUGACCUUUUUGAGUGUGGAAAGUGGGUCAUGUCUUCACCGACGAGUGUAAUUGAGUGUAUUAUGGAUUGGUAUUACAAUAUACAACUUUCAGCAACGGAUCUCUUGGCUCUCGCAUCGAUGAAGAACGCAGCGAAAUGCGAUAAGUAGUGUGAAUUGCAGAAUUCAGUGAAUCAUCGAAUCUUUGAACGCACCUUGCACUCCUUGGUAUUCCGAGGAGUAUGCCUGUUUGAGUGUCAGUAGAAUCCAUAAUGCCGCCCCAGGUGGUGGUAGUUCUAAGUGGGGAAUGCUCGCCUUUUCUUUCUGUCCGUCGGGGUAGUCGGCCGUUCCUUCGGGGUUCUGUGCACACCACGUUCUGGGCUCGUAGCAGGUUGGGUUGGGCUUCCCUGAAAUGCAUUUGUGAGAAGAGUUGGCUUGUCACUCGUUGGGUGUCAUAGGCUAUUUAUUUAUGCGCCGGCGAGUUGGCUUGUAGGACUCUCUAUGUCCCUCUCUCCAAGGGUGACAUUAAUAAGGUUGACCUCAGAUCAGGUGGGACUACCCGCUGAACUUAAGCAUAUCAU
rnacentral:rRNA from 1 species